rnacentral:rRNA from 1 species
AGUGAACGCUGGCGGUAGGCCUAACACAUGCAAGUCGAACGGCAGCACAGUAAUAGCUUGCGCUUACGGGGGGGGAGUAGCGGAUGGGUGAUGAGAAUAUCGGAGUUUACGUUGUCGAGGGUGCGAACACAGGGAAACUUACGCUAAUAGCGCAGACGACGUACGGGUGAAAGCAUGGGAUCUUCGGACCUUGGGCGAUUGAAUGAGCCUAUGUCGGAUUAGCUAGUUGGCGGGGUAAAGGCCCACCAAGGCGACGAUCCGUAGCUGGUCUGAGAGGAUGAUCAGCCACACUGGAACUGAGACACGGUCCAGACUCCUACGGGAGGCAGCAGUGGGGAAUAUUGGACAAUGGGCGAAAGCCUGAUCCAGCCAUACCGCGUGGGUGAAGAAGGUCUUCGGGUUGUAAAGCCCUUUUGUUGGGAAAGAAAAGCAGCAGGUUAAUACCCCGCUGUUCUGACGGUACCCACAGAAUAAGCACCGGCUAACUUCGUG